UCGGCUAUAAACUUAAAAAAAAAAUAUGACUAAAUAGGUGCAAAUGUGUUGGUAUAUGCACCAAACAAUUUCCUGCAUCCCCGACCCCACACCUACGCGCACUGGUACCCUCUCAGGUGUUCUUCCCUAUAUAAGCCCUUUCUCCAGAUAUUUAUUAACGUCUCUCUCUCUCUAUCUGCUCUGCUCUGAUAUAAGCCCGUUCAGUUGCGCUUCUCUGACCGCUCUCUCCAUCUCUAUCAAACCUCUUUUACUGUUAGGUAUGAACUCAACUCUUCAAAAUUCCUUUCAGAAGCAAAAUGCAAUCGAAAUCCUUCUCUUUCUUCAAAAUUCCGUACAUCCUCUAAUCAAAUUGUUUGAUUUUGGUACGCGAUUGCAAUUUUUGUUAAAAGUUUUUCUUUUUCCGUUCAAUCGAUCACUACAUGAAUCGUAAUGCAUGUUAAUUGGCGUGAUUCAAUUCAGCUUUUGCUGUUUCUUUCCUGAGAAAGGCCGCAAGAGAACACUGACACGCGAAAUUCAAUAUCUUUUUCUGUUUGAUAACGGUCGGGUCCGGGCCAGCUAAAUUCAAUAUCUUUAUGCUUUUUACAUUCUUUUGAUAGUAACGUAAUUUCUUUACCACUUGUUAGUUUGUAUCCGUUUUAAUUGUUUUAACGUUUUGCUUCUUUUUUGAACUUUUGAAGAUCUUAAGUUGGCAAUUAUAAUCAUUUGUAAUCACGAUCUUAGCAAUUAUGGAAAAGCCAUCGCUUCGUUUUUCAGGUCCGUUAUGUCGCUUCUUUCAUUGUAUUGUAGUCGAUCAAAUAAUUUUCUUUUGUAGCACGCAUUACUUAGUUUUGUUACUUUUUGCUCGUAUCUAGCUUAGUCGCAUAUGUUGGUUCAGGAUUUAAAAUCAAUGAGUAUACGGUCUAACAUAUACCCGAGGCAGUGUGUUUUCACUUCCCCUAUGUUGGAUCCACUUGUGCUCAGAGUUAUUGGAAUUUCAUUUCUUUAAGGACGCUAAAAAGCAUCCUUUUCGUAUUUGAUGUUAAGCUUUAGGAGUACUGGAGUACUAGUUUUGCUAGUGGUACUCCAGCUUGUUGAAUAUUUGGUGCCUGCGUAUUUGUUGUCACAUGUCAACUUUUCUUUUGUUUGUUUCUUUUCUGCUUUGUUUAUUGCUAUUGAUUCAUCAUUCCAGUUCGAAGAACCAUAUCUUGAUAUUUAAAAUGGUUAUUGUACAGCUGGUGUACGUUAGACUAGGAGAGAAUCAUGCUUUAUGCCUGUGUGGUAUAAUCUUAGUACUGUGUUAUGGUUGUGCGCGUGGUGCGUUUUCCUUCCUUUAGACAUUAUCUGAAAUAGUAAUCCUUUGGAAAUAUGUGAACUCACGACCUCCAUAAGUAUGUAUGAAAAAAAAGUAGAGGUGUAUAUAGGUCGNNNNNNNNNNNNNNNNNNNNNNNNNNNNNNNNNNNNNNNNNNNNNNNNNNNNNNNNNNNNNNNNNNNNNNNNNNNNNNNNNNNNNNNNNNNNNNNNNNNNNNNNNNNNNNNNNNNNNNNNNNNNNNNNNNNNNNNNNNNNNNNNNNNNNNNNNNNNNNNNNNNNNNNNNNNNNNNNNNNNNNNNNNNNNNNNNNNNNNNNNNNNNNNNNNNNNNNNNNNNNNNNNNNNNNNNNNNNNNNNNNNNNNNNNNNNNNNNNNNNNNNNNNNNNNNNNNNNNNNNNNNNNNNNNNNNNNNNNNNNNNNNNNNNNNNNNNNNNNNNNNNNNNNNNNNNNNNNNNNNNNNNNNNNNNNNNNNNNNNNNNNNNNNNNNNNNNNNNNNNNNNNNNUAAUUAAUAAGUCAUAAUGAAAAUUAACAUAAUCUGAAAAUACUAUAUAGGUCAUGCUAAAAUAAGUAUAGCUGAUAAGUACUAAUAUUAAUUACAUAAUUAAGUACUAAAGAAAAAGAUAAACUAAGUUAUGCAUUUUCAUUAUAAACCAAUGUAAAACUAAAAUAAUUAUCCAACACUAUCGUCAUUCCUAGUAUUGAAUUGAAUUUCUCUUGUUAGCAUUAUUAUUGAUUUGAACUUUGUUUGAAUUACUACAUUUAUGGGCUAUAAAAUAUUUUUACCAUUCAAGAAUGUUAAGUCUAAACUUGAAAUAAUACGUUAAAAGAUAAAACUGUGAAAAAGUUUAAGAAAUAUUUAAAAAUUAUAUUACAAUAGAUAUUUAAAUGUAUAAAAUAUUUUUAAAAAUUAUAUAAAUGUACUAUCGGGUUGGUUUGGUUUCGGUUUGAUUUUUUUUAGUUAAAACCAAACCAAACCAAUUAUGGUCGGGUUUUAUUUUCCAAUACCAAACCACAUCCCUUUUUUUUCCGGUUUGACUCGGAUUAUCGAUUUGGUGGGGUUUAUCGGUUUUCUUUGUACACCCCCUAAAAACAAGUAUAGAGAGAAAAUAAGUAUAGAUAGAGUUAGAUAUAUAUCUUUUAGAACUCACAACAUGUACAUCCAAUCCACCGAUGGUACGACCCCAUGUAACUUCCAGCGGCUUCACAUAUUAAAAGAACAUGGACGUCUUCACAACAAUGGUCUGUACUAGACGAUGGACUAGAAUACCAACUCGCAUCUAGUAAACUUGUCGACGCCAAGGUACCCUUGCUUAGGAGUCUUUGACAUAUUGCAAGGUUUUUCCCCUUCAAGUUAGUGAUGUAGGGUCUCAUAAUCCAAUAGACGUCCCAUUAUUAUAUUAAUUAUAUCAUAUCUUUGGUCUUUCUUUAUUCUUGCGCUAUAAUGAAAUAAGGCCUCUCUUGCUUCAAAGGGGAGUGGUCUUGCCGUCAAAGAGCUGCAGUGGCAAAAUUGAGAACCAAUGUAUGACUCAAGCAAAGACGACUCUAGGUGAGUUCUUUGUGCGAAUUAUCUGAUAUCUAUAUUGGUGGGAGAUAACAGAAACCCGGCGGACUAGUCAAGAUAGCCUAAGUUGUUCCACAAACCACCAUCAUGAAAAUAAAUAAAUAAAUAAAUUAGGCUUCUUCAUUGCAAGUAAGAAUUCAUCUUGUUUAGUUAAUUCAUUUGUUUAAAUACUUUCUUGCUCCACACAAAAAAGUCUAAAAUUAAACCAUGGAAAAUUUUGGUUCUCAGCAACUAAUUUGAUGCCCAAAAUUUGUGUUCUCAUUCAAUUUAUGGGCCCAUUUGUCAUUUAUUAGAUAGAAUUCCAUAGAGACCAAACCUCGAAUCAAUCAUUUUUCUUGAGUGGUAUGAGGAGAAAACUUCUUAUAUGUUUCUAGAGAGGGGGGGGGGUUGUCAUCUACAUCAUCCAAAUAAGUCAUCUAUCAAAUCGUUGCAAUUAAUGUUUGAUUCACGAGAGAAGGAUAAGAUCUUCGGAAAGUGGGUUUAGUUUGGUUUUUCAUUCAAUUUGUGUUUCUCCCUAUUCCAAUCCAUAUUUAAGUUCUAGUUUACUAUAUGUUGUUAAAAUUUUGAUUUUGACCACACGAUCACAUGAUCCUACUGUCUAAAUUUGGGAAAUUGAUUCAUAUUGGUAGGUAGAAACAAAGAGGGCUGAGGUACCAUUAUUGUAGUAGAUUUUGAUGUUAUCGGAUCACAUAAGAUUGCAAAAUCUUAGUGAUCCUAUUAGUAUUACCUGUUUAUGAUUUCUCUCAGAAAAUGUUGCUCCCAUAUUAUUAAACUAAAUGCAUUUUACCUUAUACUUAAGUAUAAACCGCAUGCACUAGGACAAGAAGCAACACCUAACCUUUGUGUUUGCUAUACUUCCUUUUGGAAAGCUUUUUAUAGAUGUGGACUCUUGUGAAAAGGUGUGUGCAUAGUUCAUGAUGCCAUGAAUUUUUUUGGACGUAUUGUCAUAUUUUGACUAGAUUAUAAAUUUAAUUGCAUCAUACAAUACUAAUCGAUAGUUAUAUCCUUUUAAAAAAUUUGACUUUUUUUGUAUUUAACAUAUUCUAACACCUUAAAGUUCAAACUUCUGUGAGCAUAUAAUUCAUUUUCACAUAGUUUUAGAAUAUAUUUGUCCUGUUUAAAAUGUUUGAGAUAACUGUUUUGUUUUUGCGUUUUUUUGCCUUAACCGAAUAUUCUUGAUAAAAAAAAAAUUCAUGUCGAAUUAUUUGAGGCAGAGGCAGUAACACAUAUUCAAGUCAAUAAAUAGUAGCUGUUUCAUCAGUUUCUUGUAGUAUCUUAGUACCCUUGAAACAAUUCUUUGGUUUUUUCCUGAGAUAUGGAUGUUAAUCUUGUGUCCAUCUCCAUAUCAACUUUCAGUUAAUUUGUCACAUGAUGAAGUCACGCAUCUUAUGGGAUUCCAUUCUGGCCACUCAUUAUUUUGCAUGGUUAAGUGAUGAAACAAUUAAAAUGUAAAAAAUGGCAUGUGCUUCUCUAUCCAUGCCGCUUUUCAUCCAUCACUUUUGCUAUCUCUCCCUGCCCCUGAAAGUUAUUAGAAACGUGAUUGUCUACUCUAGCUUUCCGGGAAAGUGGCUAGGGUAAAAAUAGUUUUUGCGAUAUUGUUUAACUCUAGGUUGACAUGCAAUUUCACUUGAGUGGGGGAUUAUCUCAAUAGACGGCAUUUUGAACCAAAACUCAAAGUUGUGAUACUAAACUGAAAUUUCUAUGAUAUCUUUGGCUUUUGUAGUACAUUGAAAUGGCAUUUAUUGUGCAAACUAGUCCGAUAGUCUUUAGCAUUGGGAUCUUUGGAAUCCAGAAAUGACUUCAUUUAAGCAAGAUUUCAGCAUAUUUUUUAACUAGCUAAGAAUGUGGUGAUCACUUUACGGGGCAUAUCUCGUGUACUUUACUGAAUUGAUCUACUUCUCGCCGUGCAUAUUUCCCCAUUAUUUAGUCUUUCAUGUUGUUCAUUCUUUUUUCCUCUUUUUCAGUGACCUACCACUAUAAGAUUUCAUUAACUGAUGUUUUUUUAUCAUUGCUGGGUAAGACUUUACCAAUAUUACUGUUACAUUUUCUUUUUUCUAGGUAGAUGUUGAAAGUCGGCAUGGAUGUGAAUAUGAAGUUAGCAUCUCAUUGCUGAUGCUUUUGCAAUGCAUAUUGAUACAGCUUUUAGGUAUAUCUUAGUGUACUCUUUGAUCAGUUUUCUGGUCUGCUCUUAUUCUGUUUGCUUCUGGUGCUUUUCUCGCGUAAUUUAUCUGAGAUGCAACUGUUGUCUGCAUAGUAUUUCUAUUUAGUUUUAAUCUGUCAGAUUAAGUGCAUUCCUAACUAAUAGGCAUAUGCAUCACAAGCAUGAAGUAUCAAGACAGUUGAAGAACAUUAGCUGUGCUAACAUUUUCUUUAUUCAUAGUUAAACAUGAUUUGGGUGGCUGUUUUGUGGAUACCUAUUACAUGCCAACUUGCUACAUUUACCAGGUCAAUUGGCCAAUUUUCCCUGACAUCUAUGGGUUCUAUACCAGUCUUUAAUAAUUUAAACAUAUAUUCAUGCGCAUGGAGUACUUGAUCGAGAAGAGAGCUUAAUGGCACAGUCUGCAUCAACUCCACUGCUGCAGUGAUAGCCUGCAGCAUUCCAGUAAGACAAGAAUCAAGGAUCCAGAUAGUGGGGGAGUUUGUUUGGUGCUUUCAAAUUAUAUGGACGUGAAAGUUACCCCAAUUUUGUAGUUCCUGGUGUUUCAUAGUGUUGUUGCUGAGGCUGGCUUAGCUGGAGAUGAAGAGGUGCAUGAGGGUCCUCAUUGACGCGUAAACUGUUUGAAUUCAUGGCAUUUCUGCUCACUGCAUUUGCAUCUCUAGUUCCAUAAACCUGAUUUCCGGCAGAACAUGAAGAAAAAUAUUUGAAGCAGAAUGACUAAAGUUUUUCGUCUUGAUUUUUAUUACACAAGGAAAUUAUUAUCUACUAGCGUAAGUGAAAUCUUUUCUAGUGAUAUACAUCGAUACCUUCUUAUACAAUUCUGUAUUUUCUUGACGAACUAGGUCUAGCUUCUUAUAAAGUUCCAUGCUUUCUUGAUGGCUGAGAUUUCCCUGUAAAUAAACAGAUGGGAGUUUAGCUUCUCAGAGAAAUUCAUAGGAUAAUUACAAGAAGUGACUGCAGUUAUGUGGUUGACCUUUUGGUUUAGUUCUUGCACCUCAUCAAUCAGAAUUUGGUCCUACAGAAAGGAGUGGUUGUCAGUGCUAUUUAUACAAAUAAUAUACGGCACAUUUGGAGGUGAAAGUUCAUACCUUUCUCAUACGGAUGCCACGAAGACUCAUUUCGAGUUGCUUCUCCAAGUUUUGUAAAUCUUUGACAUUCAAUCCAGAUAGCUCUUCACCCUUCAUUUUUCUGCAGGAGAAAAAAUCUUUUAAGCCAAUCUAGGCCUUUAACAUAACAUCCAUGAUUUAACUACAGACUAGUAGUGUUCGUUUCUCUUCUAGAAGUAUCUAUAUUACUUAUAAAAAAAGAACAAAAAAGCUAUAGCUACACAAUUCGUGGUGUUUUGGUAUGACAAUCUUGACAGUUUGAGCGCUCACAAAAAUCCGCAAUACCGUAUGAUAUUACAAAAAUCCAACUUUCACUGGUUUUGUAAGCUUAUACUGGUGAGGCACAUCAUGUGCAGUCCUCCUAAAUCUGCAUCUGAUUUACUAUAUAGUAACUAUUAUAAUGGAGGUUACCGUGUACUAUAUUAUAUUAAGUAUAAGGUAAGUCCAUGCUAACAAUUUAUUAAUAUAAAGAUUAUGUGUUCAUUGUGAGUUGUGCUUAAUAUAAUUCUUGUCGAGGGAAUAUAGUGGCUAGUCAUUUGAGUUUCCCUUGAUCGGACUAAUGGUAGUGAAUGUAUUUCAAGAAGUAUAUUUCCACGGGAAUGCCUCAUCCUUUUUUACUGUUAUGCAACACUUGGUAGAAUGUUAGUGUUAGUUUUAUUGCACCAUAGGUAUGUGUAUCCUCUUCUAAAUAUAUCAAUGCCUAUUUAGAAUAUCUCUCAUAUUCUCGUAUGUUAUGAGAGCCUCCAUGAUCAUAGUAUAGACCUAAGUCACUUUCUCGUCCAGCUGUCUGUCCCUAACAACAUCCACCUUACCAAAGUUUUUCCUUUAACUAUUUUAAAUUUUUCUCAUCAUCGUUCUUGGGGUAAUCAGUGGCAUGGCAUCGCAUCUCUUUCCUGCCACUAUUUUGGGCUUGCAUGCUACCAGAAAUUUUCAGACAUCUUCCUGCCAAUAUUCCGCAGGCACCAUUUUGGUUACUGUUCAGCUGCCAUUUAAGACUUGGUUGCCACACCGGUGAUGUCUGGGAAAAUUAUCAUAGCACCUUCCUUUCUUGUGUUUGAAGAUAGGUUUCCUUCUGUGUGUGCUGCACAUUAACCAUAACUUUCUCUGGCUUUUGGUUUUGGGGGUGCAGUGGGGGUUAUGGACUUAUGGUGUCUCUUCCCAUUCACUUUUUUGGCAAUUAUUCACCCACCACUCAGGAAUCUAUUCUUUGUUCAGGCAAAUUUAUUCUGUUCCAAGUUUUAUUCAAAAUAAGCGACUUAAGUUGGUUUUCCACCUUGAGUUUAAAGGGGCAGGCUAGAAUGUUAAGCUAUACUGUCCCAUCACCCAUGUUGGAGAAAUAUAUUUCAACCCCAUAAAUAGGUGUUCCCAAAGUUAAAAAAGUUAUUCUCCAGAUCGCCUUUCAUUUUCUAACACCACCUGCCUGGUGGGAUCUUAAAUGUCCUUUCUGUUAGCACUUAUAGAUUUGAUACUUUCGGGAGAGUUUCGAGUGGACAUUUGGGUUUUUGAGCCUUCUUAUUUCAAAACUAAAAUGUUUCAAGCUAUCUAUUCUGGUCGUUUCAGUGUUCAAUAUCCAUGAAGAUAAUAGAGGGGCAUCCCUACACAUUGCACACCUACCUCUAGUAGAACCUUUGAAGUUUCCUUUCUUGGCACAAGUUUAGUUUGUGUGCUGUUAUUUUUUCUCUCUUUGUGCUCGGAAAUAAAAUAUCUUUAAUUGCCUGAGCAUGAGAGAAGUGCAGUAUAGAGGAAAGAAAUCCGUGUCUUAAGAAGUAACUAAACUAGGGUAUACCUUAAGUUCAGAACUUCUUGUACUAUAGUCAAGUAAAAGGGAAAAAGUUUUUUAUCCCAUGUUGAUACUUUAAGGAAACAGGAAAGAUUUCGUGACAUAGUAGGUAUUUUAUUGAUUCCAACACACCUAUACUAGUAGAUGAGUGUAUAUUACUUUCUGGCAACUGAGGAAUUUUCUGGAAGCUGAGGUUUUCAUCAUAUUUAGUUCCUGUAAAUCCCCCCCCCCCCCCCCACACCCCCAAAAAAAAAGGACAUAAAGAAAAAGAUUCUCCCUUAAAGGUUAUCGCAGGGUUCCUUCAUUUUGCAGUGAACCCUAUCUCAAUGGUCAUACACAUGAAUAAUCUUUUAUCUGUUCUGGCACCAGUGAAUGCAUUGAAGCGAACAUUUAUUAUGUAUGCAUGUUCUCGAGCAGACAAGACAGAUGUUGCACAUCUUCUGUUGCUUCAAUUUUGAUGUGGAAUUUUCUAAUUAUUCGUCUUUACAUCUCCAUUUGAUAUGAUAGUGGUUUUCUCCAUAAUAAUCUGGUAUGAGCCCUAAGAUUGUAAUGAUGGAUUAAAUAUAACCACCAGUAUCCCUAUGUCCUUCUGGGAUAUAUCUGUAGCAAAAUGAGUGUAUGAAUCACCAAAAUUGGUGCCUAUUUUGGAGGUCCACUAGAACACAGGAUUAGUAGGCCGCUCGAUUGUAGGAUAAGUGGAGAUUACUUGGCUUUUUAUGUGGCUGAAAGAGUGAUAACGAUGCCCCGGCUUGCAAUAGCGAAGUUUGGAAUAAAUGGUAUCUUUAUUGAUUCUGAAGGUGAUGGGAGGAGAGUUAUUAGAUCUGGCUUCUAAUGAAGAGGAGAAUUUGAUAGAAGAUAGAGUGAGAGAAUUACCACUUAUAAAUAACUGUAAGGCAUGUAGUUUCCUUUAACUAUCUAGUACUAGAACUUUCCCGAACAUUACCUGCUCAACUUUUUACAUGAGUUUUAGCCUUUUCUCAUACAGUGAAGGAGACUUUUCCAUUUUAUAUUCCUUCAUGAUAGUCUCUUUCUGGUUAUUAUCUUGGCUCAUCUCUUCCCCGCUAUUCUUCUCUUCUUCUUUUAACACUCUCCCGCUACCAGCAAACAAUUCAUCAAAGCUUUCCUUUUUCUUUUUCUUUAUCUCUACAUCUUUAUUUGACACCAAUAUGUGAGGAAAAUGAGAAGGAGAAUAAGCUACGGACUGAGGGUGUUUGUUGGUGGUGCGGGAGGGGAGGAAGAAAGAAAAGAAAAAGGAGAGGAAAGGAGGCGAUAUUGAUUGUGGAGGUUGGGAAAUACAAGCAAAGGAAAACGAAAAACAAAGAAAACUUUUGCCCUUAGCCUACGGGAUAAUUCAAUGGAAUGGAGUUAGGGCCUGCAUUUCAUAGAAGGAUGCUUAAAGUGCUCAAAAGAUAGCUUAGGAGGUAAAGUACUUCAAUAUCUAUCCUUAGGUGGGAGGCUCACUUUAAUUAAUGGUGUGCUGGAUGUAAUUCCUACAUAUUUGAUGUCUCUUUUCCCCAUCCCAGUCAGUGUGGAAAAGAAAUUUAAUCGUAUGAGAAGUCAGUUUCUUUGGGAGGGGAAGGCUGAGAGGAAAAAGUAUCAUUUGGUAAAGUGGCAGGAACUUAUUAAAGACAAGAAAGGUGGUGGUUUAGGAGUUAAAAAUUUAAAGCCCCAUAACAAGAGUCUGUCGUUCAAAUGGUUGUGGAGAUACAAGGAAGGCUGAGAGGAAAAAGUAUCAUUUGGUAAAGUGGCAGGAAGUUAUUAAAGACAAGAAAGGUGGUGGUUUAGGAGUUAAAAAUUUAAAGCCCCAUAACAAGAGUCUGUCGUUCAAAUGGUUGUGGAGAUACAAUGAUGGUGGAGAGAAAAUCUGGAAGCAGGUUAUUGACAUCAUAUAUGGUAGAGAAGGCUUUUGGGCACCUCGUGCAGUAUCUAUACCAUCAAAAACUGGAGUAUGGAAGCAAAUAAGUAGAUUAUGGCUCGAAUUUCAGAAAUUCAUCUCAUUCAAGCUCGGAAAUGGAAGCAGAAUCAGGUUCUGGACAGAUGUCUGGCUAGGUGAUGAUAAACUGAUGAACAAAUUUCCUACAUUGUAUAGUUUAACCAGGAAAUACACAGUGUACUACUUGAUGCUAGUACAUUGGACUCUCAGAUUUGGCCAGCUGGGAAAGAUGGCAAAUUCUCAGUAAAGAGCUGUUAUACUCUUUUGCAAAAACAAAUAGGUCACUGGGAUUUGACUUGGCCGUGGAAGAUGUUGUGGAAAUCACAAGCACCUCCUGAAGUAGCUUGCUUUGGCUGGACUGUAGUUAGAAAUGCAUGUUUAGCUCAAGAUAUGUUGCAGAGAAGGGGAACUCCUCCUUUGUGCAGUAGAUGUUUUUUUUGUGAAAAUUCCCAGGAAUCUGCAGAACAUCUUUUUUUGCACUGCAAUUAUACAAGCCAGAUAUGGAAUCUGUUUCUCGCUCUGACUGUUGUGCAAUGGGUGAUGCCAAAGAAGGUGAAAGAUCUAUUGGUUUGUUGGCAGAAUCAAAGAGUCGGGAAAAAUCUAAAGCGAAUCUGGAGGACCAUACCUCUUUGCAUCUUUGCACCAUCUGGUUGGAAAGAAAUAAGAGAUGUUUUAAAAAUCAGUAGAAUCAUUUAGCUAGUGUUAGAAAUAGUUGUCUUCAUAACUUAUACUUUUGGUGUAGGGGAAGUUUGGCAGAAGACUUAGAUCAGUACAUGGAUUUUAUAGAAGUUUUGAGAUUGUAAUAGUUUUCGGCAGUGCUGAAAUUUUGUAUGCUUUCUGUACCUUCUUGGUACUUUUUUAAUGAAAUUUACAUUACCUUAUAAAAAAAAAGAACUUCAAUAAAAUUUUCAGAUAAAUUGCUAAGUGCUAAAUAGCAAGUAGGUUUUCUUUGGAUCGAUUAAAUAGCAAGUAGUUUAGUGAAGGAACAAUUCAUCUCUUCUGGAACAACAAAAGCUCUAAUAGAUAACUCAAUGGAAUAGAAGAUUCUGAGGUGACAUUUUGAUUUGUUUUUGGUUUAAUUCCUGGAAGUUAGGUUUUUGAGAAAGUUGUGUAAUUUGGAGAAAGGUUAUGUAUUAGUAUUACCUUUGAGCAAUAUGCUUUUAAGAAUAGUUGUGCUAGUUUUGUGAAAAAACUACCUUAAAUUGCUUUGUUUUUUGGAAACCAUUUUUGUUUGAUUUCAAGAAAACAAUGUCUGUUUUGGGGACAGUUCUUUAAAAAACUUUCCAUGUAAAAUGGACUAGGUAUUCAAACACUUCAAGAGUUCAAAGAAGGAAAGACUUCGGUUUGUUAAAUGAGAUGACUUCUGUGAGGAACACUAUUCCAAUAUUAGAUAAUGGCUGCCUUCCAAUUCCAAUUCCAAUCAAGAGGUUUGGAGAUCGGGAGAGUGGAAAGUUCCAUUGUUGGCCUCCGUGGAGGGUUUGGUUUGGGAUUCACCAAAUAAAAUAAAACUACAACGAACAUCAAGUUACCAAAAUAAGUCCAACCUUAUGGAUUUAACAAUAUGGUCAACAUGCCUUUGGAUAAGUUUAGUCCAAAGGUAGUUGGAUAAGUUAUUCACUCACAACAUGAAAAAUUAUGCUAAUUAGAAAAAAGAGCUUACCGAUGAUUCUCUUGCAGGUUCUCUAGUUGUUGCCUCAGCAAUGCAGCUUCCCUUUGCCAAAACUGCACAAAAAAGAUAUAAAUUUGUAAAUUUGUUCAAUAAGAGAGAAAUCAAUAAAUGUUUUUUUGUGUUAUGACUACAGUAAUGCAGAAUUACUGGCAAACCAAGCUCAACUUUUGUUGCCACAUUCAACUGGAAAUGCUACUUAGGUUUGUUUUUCAUGACCCAUCUCUCUGGUGGCCCAAGUUUAGUGAUAAGUUAAUCUUCCAACACAUAUCUUUUACUCUUUUAAUGAUGGUACAGGACAAGGUUAAUAAGAUCGCUUCACAUAUCAAAAGCCAUAACAAGCCUUUCAAAAAUGGUUUAAAGAAAAUAAUGAGCUGUUGUUGCUUUCUAGAAUUUGUAUCAUUAACCCAAAUAAAAAACAAAAUACCAUUUCAAAAGCAAACAAAAAUAAAAUAUGUCUAUUUGUUUUUGUAAAAGUAUUUAGUCCUUUUCACAGUCAUUUUUGAAUUUUAUUUACUAUAUUAUUUUAAAUUUUUUAUGACAAUUGACGCUAUUGGUUCGUCAUCUAGUACUUUCAUUCACCUCCCAAUACAACUUAAGGUUGCAACCAUAUCUGUUGGUGCAAGAUAGAACCCUUGUGGCUUGGAAUGGAUGACUAUAAAUUUCACUGCAUUGGGAUAGUAUGACGAGGCAAAGGCCUCUUUUUGGUUUGUUAAAUGAGUGUUUAGUUUAUAAAAUGUCCUAGUUCAAGUAUACAAGGGCAUCUAUAGGUGUUUAUAAAGGUUAUGGGGUAAUUCAUAUAUUACUUUUAAGAUUUUUGAGCUGGUACUCAAAUUUUUUAACAUAGUACCGAAGCGAAUAUUGAGAAAUCCAUUCUCUCACUAGUAAGUUCAUAUUAAAGUCCAUGUGUGAAUUCCAAAAUCGGGUUAUAUGUGUGGGAAGGUGUUGAGUUAUAUAAAGCCUAUGACAUCCAAAAUGGUUUAUAAGGUCUCAAGUUACUCCACUCAUUCCCUUGCUAUUUUGGAUUGGAUGCUCAAAUUCUUUUACGAUGACUAGUUACAAUUGUAGUAUAGGUAUUGCCGAUGUGUUAUUUUAAAAAGUUGUCCCUCAUUGUGUGUAACUUAAUUGGAAAUGCACGUGUGCUUAGUUUUCUCACUAGGCUACGAUUUCUUUAUGGCUAGAUACAGUUUAAUAGGUCAGCAAAUUUAUAAUGAAUCUAAGGUUAUAAAUUGGACAUCAGAGAUAAGGAGGUAGACAUGUAAAAAUUGGACUAAGAAUGGAGAAUCUCGUCUGAACCCUCGAUUUGAUUGUUUUCCAAGAAUGUUGAGCAGGUAUGUAAGCCAUGUACCUGGGAAGAGUACUAGAGUGAUUCUUUGCAUAAUUUUUCUAUUUUCUAAUUACAGUAAAAACUUGUUCCUUCAUAUUCUGUUACACCUUGUAACUUUGAGGUUGUAUUGAGAAGUUUUUAUAAGUAGGUGGUUGCAUUAUAUGUGAUAUCAUGGUAUCAAGGUGAAAAAUGUACAUAAAACCAUUUAUGUUCCAAUCUCAGGCAGUUGAAUUUUGAGGUGAAGAUUUAAUCUAUGUCCAAAUAUGACUUGUGUUUGUCUUACUGUAGUUUACUAGCAAAAUAAGAUGAAUUUUUCUCUCGACAGGAAAAUAUAUUAGACUUAUGGAGGACUGAAAGUAAUUGGAAAUGCAAGGGGUUGUUAAAUUAGUUAUUACCUGUUAAAGUGAAUGAGAUGGACGACUCUUGUGCAUAUGAUAGUCCAAACCGGUCAACAUUUAUCAUGCAUGAAGAUGUUGAGUUUGAGAAAAAGGGAAUCUUUUAACUAAUUGUGUAUGCCUGUCUUUAGGGUUCUACACUAGCUCCUACCCAUUACCCCUGUUUCUGAAUGUGGGCGCUUCUAUUCUAUUCUUUGGUUUAAGCAAAUAAUUGUGGGAAUUUAAGUGAUUUGAGAAUUUAAGUGAUUUGAGUAUAAGGUACAUGAUUAGCGUGCAUCUAGGUGUGCAGCAUGAGAGCUGGGAUAUCCAUUGGCUAAUUGUUUUUGCAUCUCCGGAAGUUGUUGCAUCUUCAGUGAGUUGACAGUACUUGACAUUUGGUUCAAAUGAUGGUAUGACUUAUUAUGGAAAAGGAUAUGCAGGAUUAUAUCUCUUGGGUUCAGAUGUAGCUCUAAAUUGUGGCCAGUCAGUCUAGCCUCAUCAUUUUACUCAGGGUGUUUGCAUUAGCUGAAUCGCUUAGAUUCCUAUAAUAUAGUAAACCUUUUUUGCUUUUCUUCAAGUACAGGAAAUUAGGACUUGGAAUCCUGAUUGGAACUUAUGCUAUAGUUCUAACGAGAUGCUCGAGUAUUUGUGUACUGUUUUAAGUAAGUGCCAUAGACAUGAGCAGUGGAUGUCAUGAUGGUGGCAUUAGCAUCUGAGGACAAAUCUCAGUAUAUGCUAAAUCAUGGCAGCACGGAGCAGUCAUAUUUGGGUUAAAAGGCACCUGAUUAAGGGGGACCAAGAGCUGCUUUUGUGAUCAAUCUUACCAGAAAAUACAGAACCACCAUUUCCAGAUCUCCUUGCUCUAACUGAACUAUUAUGGCACUCUGUCAGAUAAAAAUCCCCUGAACACAGGAAGAGUUUCUGUGCUAUGCUGAGAUCUAAUGCAGCUAUACAAGAGACUGGUACCUCACUUCAGUUUGGCAGUAGUAUCAGGGCCAUGUAACUUCUAAAAAUGUGAAGGUCCAGAGUUUCUGUUAUUUUCCCUUUAAUCACAUUUUCUUCACCUAUGUUUUGACCUGCAUCAUUGAAUACUAAUCUGUAAAGCAGAACGAACUAUAUUUUGAUGGAAAUUUUUAUUCUCUUGCAGCUUCUCAUAGUCCAAAGAACACACACCUUCUGACUUCUGUUUCCCCUGCACCAAUUGCAAAGAAGGAUUAGAUGAUUAGUCUUGAAAUAGUGGAAAGAUGACAUGACUAAGCUAAGAUUCGUGACAGUCUUAUAGAGCUGGAUACUGUUGUUUGAACCAGAGACCUUCAACCAGUGCUAUCCCAGAAUGUCAUUAUGAUAAUGCAACGAGUGGCCAAGUUUGUAACAGCUCCAUGUUUGUUGUCAUCUUGGUAUAAAGUUUAGCAUCCUCAGUUUUACUAUCUUCUGUUCUAGAAGAUAAUUCUUUAGAGACUUCAACUUGCAACAUCAAUAGUGCCACAUUCAAAACUGAUUAGCUGGGAUAUGAUUAGAGGGUAAAUAUAAGAGUAUAAUUCCACUGUUAAGGAAAUGGAGUGACCCUAAUGGUCAUAAUCCAGGAUAACUGCUGCGAAAUAUUGUCGGAUGCCUUUUAGUUCCUAGAGGAAAAGUGCUAAGCGCCAGAAUGACUUAAAAGCUCUUAAAUUCUCGGACAGUCGUUUGAUCCUUCGAACUAUUAACUGUCAAGAACUUCCAUGUUUCUAAAAGCAGUUUGAGCUUCUUUAUCUUAGCAUUUGUGUGUAGUCAUCGCCAGGAUUUGCAGUAUGAAGACAGCAGAUGGGUCUAAAAGAAUAGACUUGUCAAUAUAAGAGUGUUGUUCCUCAUUUGCUACUUUUUGUCGGGCACAGGUCAUGAAAUGAUAUUCCCAUUGAUUCCAAAAUGCUAUUGAUAAAUGCAGUCACUGCAUAAGGUUCUUGAUUGGCGCAUCUAAAGUGUGUGUAUCUCUUCUGUGGGAGGAAAUUAAUUUGUCCAGAGUCCUUGUUCCAAUUGCUAGACCUGCAUUAGUUCAUCAAACUUCCUGCCCUGUGCUAGCAUGAAUAUCUACUCCCUCUCUGAGGUGCCCUACAAUGUAUACCUAAAUGACAAAGCCAAAGUCUUUCGCGCUAAAGAUGAAAUUAUCUUGUUUUCAAACAGUUUAGAGCUUUUUUACAGGGAAUGUCUUGACAACUCUUUUCACUUACCAGUUUAUAGAUGUCGCAAGCCUUUUUCAUAUGUGCUUUUUUGUUGUUGUUUCAGUUCCCAUACCGAAAUAAAGUGGAGUUGCAGAAGUAACCCUAUAAAAUAUGCUUCCUUGAUGAGCCAUUAAGCCAUUUGGGAUGCUUUCUUCUUAUUAUUAAAAAGUCUUCCUACUUGGCACCACCUCUGUAGCUAUGUUGUGCUUCCAGUAGUGGAAGAUAUGCAUGUUCCCGCUCUUCUAGAUCUUCUUCUGAUUGCCACAACACUAAUGGAAUUAUAUUUGCCCUUUCCAUUAAUGGAAUUCAUCAUAGGUUCCAUCUUUAGUUCAUUCCUCCAUUUCUCCAAAUAGCCGGGGUGGAAUGGAGAUGGUAGAACAGGUAUCAGCUAAUGAGGAUCUCCAUUCUCUCUGCCCAUUUGGUUGUGGAAUUGAUUGACGCAUCCUUUCAUGCAUGUGCAUGUUCUUCUCCUCAAUAUUAGAAUCAUAAUCCAACGAUCCAGGGAUCCAAGUUCAUGGAAUCAAUCCAGAUCACGGGUACAACUAAGAGAGGUUGAAUUGGAAUAUUGUGUAGCUGCUGGCAUCCAAGUUCUGUAGAAUUGGGAUCCAAGUUCAUGGUAUCAUUCCAUUUUUAUUAAUUUUGAAAGUAUAAAUUGUCCUUGAGAAUUCUCUUGUCAUGCUAGUGGUCUGCUGGCAGCAUUACUAUACUGCCUAUAGAUUCUAGACUUUCUGUGCUCCUGGGAGGGCUUCACACCGACGACCUAUUAUUUUGCUUAAGCUUGUUACUAACAAUUCAAGUAUCUUUUUACGUCUUGUUGAAGAACUUCUAAUAUUAUUGUUAUUACUAUUAUUAUUUGUAUUGNNNNNNNNNNNNNNNNNNNNNNNNNNNNNNNNNNNNNNNNNNNNNNNNNNNNNNNNNNNNNNNNNNNNNNNNNNNNNNNNNNNNNNNNNNNNNNNNNNNNNNNNNNNNNNNNNNNNNNNNNNNNNNNNNNNNNNNNNNNNNNNNNNNNNNNNNNNNNNNNNNNNNNNNNNNNNNNNNNNNNNNNNNNNNNNNNNNNNNNNNNNNNNNNNNNNNNNNNNNNNNNNNNNNNNNNNNNNNNNNNNNNNNNNNNNNNNNNNNNNNNNNNNNNNNNNNNNNNNNNNNNNNNNNNNNNNNNNNNNNNNNNNNNNNNNNNNNNNNNNNNNNNNNNNNNNNNNNNNNNNNNNNNNNNNNNNNNNNNNNNNNNNNNNNNNNNNNNNNNNNNNNNNNNNNNNNNNNNNNNNNNNNNNNNNNNNNNNNNNNNNNNNNNNNNNNNNNNNNNNNNNNNNNNNNNNNNNNNNNNNNNNNNNNNNNNNNNNNNNNNNNNNNNNNNNNNNNNNNNNNNNNNNNNNNNNNNNNNNNNNNNNNNNNNNNNNNNNNNNNNNNNNNNNNNNNNNNNNNNNNNNNNNNNNNNNNNNNNNNNNNNNNNNNNNNNNNNNNNNNNNNNNNNNNNNNNNNNNNNNNNNNNNNNNNNNNNNNNNNNNNNNNNNNNNNCAUCACAUUUAUUUAUUUUUUUACCUGGGACAAUGAUGAUAUGAAUUGUGCUUAAAUGGAGAAGUGAGGAUUCAUAUACUCGAGCUCAACUGCAUUGGGAUUGAGGCGUAGUUAUUGCUUUUAUUGUAAAUUGCUAGAGUAUCACUUAGAGUUCAGACGAACCUAGUAGCUUUUGGUUAGACCAUGUAUUUGUAUUAGGAAAUUCAUUAAAUGUGUAUAAAUAUUUAAUUGUGAAUCCAGUAACUAAGACGAGUUAUGGGCUCGAUGGCAAGUGUAGAACCCAUAAACUUCAAAUUAUGGUUGCGUCUCUGGUUGUAAGGUAAAUGCAACUGUAAUAUGGCCAAUAUUUUGGCAAAUGGAAUCCAUCUCACGUAAGCAUAAGCAUAUUUGCAAAAUGUAGACUUUGUUGGCAAUAUUCUUUGGGACCCAAAAAUAUUGCAUUGUGUGGUGGAUAUCAUUUGCACAAGUUGUAUCUUUUCUUUUACAACUAAGAGGCCAAGACUUUUUUGCCUAUAAAAGGAAAGGACAUUAGUUCAUUUUAAUCACACCAACAAGACUUGAGUCUUCAUUUCUUAUUUCUCCUUUCCUCCUUUAUUAAAAGUGUUUUGUAUGAGAGUUGAGUGUUGGGAAGCACUUGUGUGAACCCUUUCUUUGAAGUGAUCUUGUGAGGUUAUUCUCUUAGAGUAUUUGGGAUUAAUUAGAGUUUUUACUCUAAUUUUGUACUCUCUUUUGUACUCUUAUUGGUAUAGUGAAAUUGCUCCUCUCCGCUUGUAGACGUAGGUCACUUUGACCGAAUCACGUUAAAUUUGUGUCUUCUUUAUAUGCUUUAAUUGCUGUAUUGCAUUGUCUUUGUUAUUGUUAUUAUAACGUUGUUUGGCUAAAUUCCGCACUACCCAGGUUCCCGAUCCUAACAGUAACAGUAAGUAUCUUAAACUUAGAUGCUAUAGAACGUCAAAAUAAAUUUAGAUGUAGGUAUAUAGAAAUAUUUUGGCACUCAAGGAAGAAAAGGUUUCUAUAGUAAUAAGAUGUAUGCUUUAGUGCACAAAACAAAUAAGUAAGCUGCAGAUGCAUGAAAGAAUGUGCUGUAAAGUCCUGAUUCUUUUACAUUGUCAAAAAAGCUUGAUACUAGUAUAAUAUGCUGUGAAGGUUCAAAUCCCAGUGAGGCAAAAACAGUUGGUGAUUUUUCUCAUCUGUACAAGCUUUGGUGGACAGAGUUACCCAGUAGCUGUGUUGGUAGGAUAUAGCAUGUAGCUUGUGGAAUUAGUCAAGGUACACGCAAGUUGGCCCAAACACUACGGAUAUAAAGUGCUGGAAAGUCAUGUACUCUUUCCCUACAAGUCUGACGACUAGUAAUCUUCUGAAAAGUCAAAUGCCAAGUCUUAUUCUUCUGCAUUGCUGUCUGUAUGUCUGUCUAUUGUUUUCCCUAGCAGACCAUAUUAUGACUGGUUUUGUUUCUGAGGUCAUAUCACUUCUUUCUUUUUAGAGUGUAUCUAAUUAAGAUACUCCCUUCAUUUUAAUUUAUGUGAACCUAUUUGACUAGAUACGGAAUUUAAGAAAAAAGACAAGAUUUUUGAACUUGUAGUGUAAAAUAAGGCACAUAUAUUUUGUGUGGCUAUAAAUCAUUGCACAAAGAUAAAUUGUUUUCAAAUAUGGAAGUUUUUUUUUUUUUAAACCCCUCCCAAAUUACCAACUGAGCAAGCCUCACUUGUCGCUCUAAAUAUGGAAGAUGGUCAUUCUUUUUGACACGGACUAAAAAGGAAAUAGGUUCACAUAAAUUGGAACGGAGGGAGUACUAUACUUGGAGGAGAAGAGAACCCUAAGGAUUUUAACAUGAAAGGAAGUUCCUUUUGAUAUGUCAUAAAUUAUAGACAGUUAAUGGGAGAAAGUAAGUAUGUAGGAAACUAUUAUGCAUUUUGUCCUUUGACUAGUUGACCGCAAAUUAGCUAGCAAAACCUACCUUGACCUCGGAACUUGGAUCUCCCAAUUUAUGAGUCUCCUCCUUUGCUUUGUUGUAUCUUUCAAUCACUGAUUUCAUGCUGUCAAAAUAGCAAACGGUUCAGAUUCUGAUUGAUGUACUGACUUGAAAGGUAUUCGUAUACAUUGAUCAUUGCAGUAUCAUAAAGUUUUUAUGAACUACCCGUUGCUCUGUUUUCUUUAUUAUCUAUCCUAGGCAGACACUCAUCACAUGAAAAAAGAGAGGGGGAAAAUCUAUUCUACAUCUAGAAGUUUUACAUCGCAUCAGCUUCAUCCAUACUUGUCGUACUAAUAAUUAUCUACUUUGUGAAUUAGGACAGAAACAAUUAAAUCGGUCAAUGUUCAUGAAGCCUCUCACUAAUGUAUAAUGGCUUAACUUGUAGUCUUUCUUCUUUUUUUCUCCUAGUUAAUUGAGCUUGGAGUAAUUGCAUGAAAAAGCUUAACAAAGUGAAUGGCUUCUGUUAUUGAGUUCGCUCUGAAAUUGGGACCUACAUAUAGGUUUUUUUCUUCCGCCGGUUAUUCUAGCUUUCAUUCAUCAAUCAGUAUGGAUCAAAUUGGUGAGUCAAUUUUGUUUAAAGAAAGCAUGUUCUCAUUGUUUAUAAGAAAGCAAGUUAUGUUAAUAUCAUAUUAUUUUCUCUAGGAAAGUAGCCAUUGUUCGUGCUUUUUUUCUAAUCACUAGUAACAGGUGAAUGGUCAUGGAAGACAUGGGAAUACCUACUAUCUGCCUUUCAAAAAGAGCAACAAUGUUGCCAUUGCAGAAUGAAAACCACUAAUGCAUGGUAUGCUUUAGAAUGUUGUCCAAAGAAUUUUUUCCCUCUAGAAUUCCUUAAACUUUAACUGACGUAGCAUCAACUGAAUACUGAAGAGAAGACUGUUAAGAACACCCCCCCCCCUCCCCCCCUCCCAAACCAAAUAGUAUUAUAAGAUACCGGGUUGGGCUGUUUCGGGUACAAUGUUUUCAAAUCUUAUUCAUCAGUAUAAGGAAAUUAGAGUUGCUUUCGUCUUGAAUUAUUUUGUAGUAGCUAUAAUAUCUAAAGGGAAAAGUCUUAUACACACUUUCUAUGUUGCUUUUUGACCUUUAGAAGAACAAAUAGAUGAAAGACUCAGGAAGACUAGACUAGUAUUGCGUGUUGAAACAAAUAAGGCAUGGCAUGGACCUCCUUGCAGAAGUAGGAAAAGAAAUAUCUUUAUUUGAUCUUGAGAGAGGAUAGAACUUUUCAAACUCUCCCCUCUUUUGUGCCACAAACGUCUUAUGUAGUUUCCUCUGCAUUUCUAGCUUAGCGUAGUUAUAGGCAGGUUCUAAUAAAUAUAAUGAGAACCAGAAUGUGAAGAACAUCAGAAAGGGUCCUUACUGUAAACUUUUAUUUCUUUUUCUCUUAUUUCACACUUCUUUUAUAGUGUGUCUAUUUCUUUUCACUUCUCUGUAUGUCUCUGUGAAGAGAUGUUUCUAUAGACCCCAUGCUUGCGAAAGCAAUUACAUUAGCAGUAGAUUGGUACAAACUGUAUAACUAGAAGUAGAACAUGGGGUACACGUGUUUGUAACAGUACAUGUAUGUUAUGAAUUCUGUGACUAGAUUUGUAAUUGACCAAAUGCACUAUGCUUCAUCUAAUGUCAGAGAGAGGCGGAACGUUUAUUCUGAACUACAUACAUCGCCAGCUAGGGACAAACAAAAGGUAGUAGCCAGAUUGGAGAGCAAAUAAGACAGAAUCUGAUAUUACUGCACUUUAUGUGGGAUUUUUAUUGUUGUAAAUCUUAAAUCUUUACAGUUCAAGUAAUUGUUGAAGCAAGUGAUGCUGAGAAAUGGGUCUGGACGAGAUCUAAAACUGUUCAAGAGGAUUUGGGAUUUGAUUUUGAGUUACCAACCCUUCCAUCCAAUUGUAGUUAUAGUGUCACGUCACAGUAACAGAUUUGGUGACACAACCUACGCAUGGCUUCAGAUUACUGUUCAGUUCAGAACAAACUUUUGUUCUCUUAUGCUGCCUGCAGUAUAGGUGACAUAGUGACUUUCAUCUGCUUUUGCAGAUAAGAUGUUGUAAAAGUAACCCUUUAUGGUUACUGAGGACAACUAAGAAAAGAAUACUUGUUGCUGAUCCCCCCCCCCCCCCCAAAGAGGUUCAGAUAGAGAAACACAUUAAGCAUGAUAGUAAGCCUUAUACGCAGGUACAAAUACAUUCACUUAAAAAUUGCAUAACUACUGCCAAUUUGGGAAUAUCAUAGAAGUCAAUAGCAAAAUCUAGCAACAUUUAGUAGAGUAUAUCAUCUUCCUCCUUAUAAAUCAUCCCAUUAUAUUGUGGAGAAUCCAAUCUAAUUUAUACUCUUGAGAGAUUGUUAAGGUCGUGGUUGAAUUAUUUGUUUGUUUAAGUUCUUCUAGCAAUACUUUUUUGCAGACGAACUAUGUUCAUUCCUGUCUUAAACUAUUCUUAAUGGCUAGAUGACAGGUCAAACUCUAUAAUCAUUCAAGGAGAAACAGAAACCGAUGAACAAGUAUGUGAUCCAAUGUCAUUUUUGGACAUGCACAAAUCAUAAUGUGGUGUAAUAACAAGGAACAACAUACAGUGCUAGGUAUAUAUAAUUCAUAUGUUGUUACAAAAUGUAAAAUCUGUAAAUCGGCAUGGAAAUAUAUUCCUUACUUGUAUAGCUAACAAAAUCAUAUGAGUUUUGAUUUGUUUACUUUGGUAGAGUCUCUUAUAUAGUUGUACAAAUAUCUGUUUUGAUUUCUUUCAUUUGCUAGAGUCUCUUACAUAGUUGUAUAAAUAUCUUGUAUACGCACAGAAACACAGAAGACUGCAUCAAGUCGGUACAAGAGUAGGACAUAUGACAAUCCUAGACAACAAAAGACUCAAAACAUAUACAAUGUUUCUAGCACGUUAGGUACAAACUUUUCUCCCAACCAGAGUACUAGAUUCUGAAUACAUCUAUAUUUAGCACACGCAAUGGAAUUCCCUCUUCCUUUCACUGUACAUGCAGUACAAUUAGAAAUAGUCUUCCAUGUCUUCUUUAGCCUCUUUACAUCUUGUGCUUUCCAUUACAUAAUAAACCUCUUAAAGUUUGUGGAGUUGUCUAAGAUACCCCAAAUACAUUUAAGAUUAAACUCCACACCUUCCAUGUAUGAUGGCUAUGCAAGCGCAAAUGGUCUACUGAUUCUGAUUCUGAGGACCUACAGAGAAAGAAACUGC
rnacentral:lncRNA from 1 species